rnacentral:lncRNA from 1 species
CGCCUCCCAUCUCCGCCGACGACCACUGCUGGCCACGGCGUUACCAUUCCCGGCUCCUCUCUGCGUUCAAGAAGAAGCCGCCUUCGACGUUCGUGAUGUGCCCAGUCGUCGCCGACAUGAGCCGCCACCACAGAAUCUCCCUCAAGCCCUAGAAUCACGUCGCCUGCCUUCAUCGCCAGCGUCGCCCCGAUCGUCGACUGCCAUGGC